rnacentral:lncRNA from 1 species
GUUGGAGGAAGAAGAAGAUGAAGAAGAAAAGAGUGAAGAAGAAGAUGAGGACAUGGAGCGGCUAAUAUGAAAAUUCAAGAAGUUCCUCAUCAAGAAAGGUUUGAAGAGAAAGAAAGAGGAUGAAGAAAGAAAAAGAAAAAAUGUCAUAUGCUACAAAUGCAACAAAUGUGGACACUACAAGCCGAAUUACCCCCUACUCAAGCAAAACCCCAAAAGGAUCAAGAAAAGAGCAAUGCUAAGAAUUUGGAGAGAUAGUGACACAUCAAACUC